AGGACGAACGCUGGCGGCGUGCUUAACACAUGCAAGUCGAGCGGAAAGGCCCUUCGGGGUACUCGAGCGGCGAACGGGUGAGUAACACGUGAGCAACCUGCCCUUAGCUUCGGGAUAGCUCCGGGAAACCGGAAUUAAUACCGAAUAUGACUGCGGCUGACAUCAGCCACGGUGGAAAGUUUUUCGGCUAGGGAUGGACUCGCGGCCUAUCAGCUUGUUGGUGGGUAACGGCCUACCAAGGCGACGACGGGUA
rnacentral:rRNA from 1 species